AUACGGAGGGUGCGAGCGUUAAUCGGAAUUACUGGGCGUAAAGCGCGCGUAGGCGGUUUAGUAAGUCGGAUGUGAAAGCCCUGGGCUCAACCUGGGAAUUGCAUUCGAUACUGCUGGACUAGAGUAUGGUAGAGGGAAGUGGAAUUUCCGGUGUAGCGGUGAAAUGCGUAGAUAUCGGAAGGAACACCAGUGGCGAAGGCGACUUCCUGGGCCAAUACUGACGCUGAGGUGCGAAAGCGUGGGGAGCAAACAGGAUUAGAUACCCCGGUAGUCC
rnacentral:rRNA from 1 species